UGACUGAUACAACUGUUUAGUAGUACAUUUCUAAUGUUUCCAGUUCUGGAUCCUUUGUAGAGUGUCCCUGGAUUGGACGAUCUUCUUAACCAUCCAGCUAGCUUGGGUAGGAAUUGGCAUGGACUCUAUUGGCCUGUCUUCGAUAUAAUACACUGUGAUCCACCUUAUCCACAACUUGUCCUUUUUAUGGGCUAUGUCCCAGCAGGUCUUUGCAAUAGCAGCCUUGUUCCAGAGUUUGAGGUUGGUUAGAUUCAUUCCACUAACUGACUUUGGGGUACACAUUUUGUCCCAG
rnacentral:lncRNA from 1 species